GCAUUAAUGGGGUAGUGGUAACCUGGGUCGUUGCCACUAGAAGAUAGUGCAGCUCGAUUCGACCCGCCGGGGGUUCGAUUCCCCCUUAAUGCA
rnacentral:tRNA from 1 species